ACCCGCGGCCCGAGUGGUGGCCGAUAUUAUUGGGCCUAAAACGUCCGUAGCCGGUCUUGUAAAUCCUUGGGUAAAUCUACCAGCUUAACUGUUCGAAGUCCGGGGAGACUGCAAGACUUGGGAUCGGGAGAGGUGAGAGGUACUUCUGGGGUAGGGGUAAAAUCCUGUAAUCCUAGGAGGACCACCAGUGGCGAAGGCGUCUCACUGGAACGAAUCCGACGGUGAGCGGCGAAGCCCUGGGGCGCAAACGG
rnacentral:rRNA from 1 species